rnacentral:misc_RNA from 1 species
CGCGCAAAUCUAAGCACGAGCUCGUUGCGCUCUCUCUCUAUCUGAUUAAAGAGAAAGGGCAAAUCGCAGCUUAUCGACAAACUCAUAAAUACGCCAACAGCUCCAAGCGAGACCUCAGAUUGACCCCAAUCUAGACCCUCAGAUCCCGCUGUCGACGGCGAUCGUCAUGUCCGCCUCCGCCUCCUCCUCCUCCUCCUCCGCGGUCCGAUCCCCCAUCUUCCCUCUAUUCGCAUUCAUUUCUCUCCUCCUUCUCUCUACUGCUCUUGCCUCUGAGGCGGAUCACAAGUACCAACCGGAUGACCCAGUUACCCUUUGGGUAAAUAAGGCUGGCCCUUAUAAUAAUCCACAAGAAACCUAUAACUACUACAGCCUUCCAUUUUGCCAUCCGUCUGGCAGUGCUGCACACAAAUGGGGUGGCCUUGGUGAGGUCCUGGGAGGAAAUGAACUUAUUGAUAGCAAGAUUGACUUAAAGUUCCUGAGGAAUGUGGAAAAAGGCACCAUUUGUUCACUUGAACUUGAUGAAGCUAAAGUCAAACAAUUUAAGGAUGCAAUUGAGAAUAACUACUGGUUUGAAUUCUUCAUGGGUAUGUUGCAUAUACUUCUGAUGCAUGUUUCUAUUGAAAUGUCGACCAACAGUUGUAGAAUAUCUAGGAAAUUGUUUUGAGAAAUCCUUAGAUCUGUGAAAUUUAAGCUCUGAUUAUUGGUAGGAGCAUCUUUGAUAGACUGUGUGAAGCACCAUUGGUGGUGAAGACUGAAGAGUGGAUGAUAUCUUACAGUGUCGUUGUCUAAAAGAAAAGCCGAAUCAGUAUUAUGUUGAUAGCAUUGGUGAUGAAUAUAAUGAUAGUAUUAAAUACUUUCUUUGAAUCUAAUUGCAAAAUAAUAUAGAAUUCUGCAAAAUGGAAUAUGCAAGGAUGUGAGUGAGAUCAUUGAUUCACUUUCUGAUUAAGCUACCUCCAAAACAGCUUAGACUUCCUUAUGUGGCAUCGUUAUUCUUCGCCAUGUGAUAUUAAGAAUAUCCAAAUGAAAAAUGCCAUUAAUGGAUUUGAGACUUUUAGUUCUAUGAUUAGUUUAAUAAGUUUUAAAUGUCAACAUUUGAUGCAAUUCUAAAUUAGAGGUACUCAAAAUUGGUGCUAUAUUGAUCCUAAAAUAAUUAAAAUAGUUCGAGUGUAUGGUAAGUCACUGAAUUAGAAGAUUGGUGUUGAUUAUUAUGGAGAGUUGAAUCAAACAUAUGGAAGCUUUUUAUACAGCCUGCAAAAGUCUGCCUCGCCAUUUCUGUUAACUUCUAUUUGGAGCACCACAAUAAAAUAGGAUUUUUGCAUAUCAUUGGAUUGUUUUUUUUGUGUUAAUUUAUUGGCUACAUUACCUGUAAUGUUUGCACGAACGGGGUUUGCAUUUAUAUUUUUGUUGCAUGUUUUUGUGUACUUGCAUACAUGUGUUGCAUGUAUGGGGAUUGCAUGUUUCUCCCUAAGUUGCUUGAUAUUUUCUUUGUUCUUUUAUGUGAUGGAACAUCUAUUUUUCGCUGUUGCUAUCACGUUGUGCUUACUCAUUUCUUUUCCGGUCUCACGUCUCUUGUUGCUUGAUCUCUUAUGGUUUCAUUGCAAGUUCAGAUGACCUGCCAUUAUGGGGUGUGUAUUCAUCAAACUAUACUCUAUUAUUCCCCCCUCCUCUUGCCUAUUUCUCUUCUCCCAAUAAGAAUUUGAUAAUCAUCCUUGAAUAUAUAUUCUUGUUUAUCUUUUAGGCUUUGUUGGUGAGUUGAAUCCUGACAAGAACAGUGAUAAAGGCAAGCAUGUCCUUUACACACAUAAGAGCAUCUUGGUCAAAUAUAAUAAAGAUCAGAUUAUUCAUGUCAAUCUUACUCAAGAAGGUCCGAAGCCCUUAGAAGCUGGUAGAAUAUUGGACAUGACAUAUUCUAUCAAAUGGAUGUCAACUAAUGUCACUUUUGCACGACGUUUUGAUGUGUAUUUGGACUACCCUUUCUUCGAGCACCAGAUCCAUUGGUUCUCCAUUUUCAAUUCAUUCAUGAUGGUUAUCUUUCUCACUGGUUUGGUGUCAAUGAUAUUGAUGCGGACUCUUAGAAAUGACUAUGCCAAAUAUGCACGAGAAGAUGAUGAUCUCGAUUCUCUGGUGAUGCUCUUCUUCAAUACAAAUUCUUAUGAUAUAUAUAAUAUAUUUUGUUGAUUGGUUUAUUGUGAUUUUUAUUCUCUUAUUGGUGGAGACUUCUUUAAAUUGUGAAAUUAUUAAAUACACCUAGAUUAUUGCUCCUUCACUCACAUAAAUGUGAGAUCCUUUUUCACAAUUUAUGAAGGGACUUACAUGUAUGUGAGUAUAAGGAGCACUACAAUUAUGUGCUUCGAUUGCAUCUAAUAAUCUCCCCUCUGAAUAUUUUUAGAGGAAUGGAUUUUGGGGCUUUUGUUUGCCAACAAAUUUUAAUAGAUUUUAACACCAUAAUUUGUGGCAACCAUUGAAAUAUGUUUCUCAGGAAAGAGAUGUUAGUGAGGAGUCUGGUUGGAAACUUGUUCAUGGGGAUGUUUUCCGGCCACCACGCACUUUAGUUCUUCUUUCAGCUGUUGUUGGGACUGGUGCUCAGCUAGCACUACUUGUGCUUCUUGUCAUCUUGUUGGCCAUUGUUGGGACACUAUAUGUUGGGUAUGUUGAGAUGCUACUCCAUACAUCUCUCUCUCCUAUGCUAUGCAAUCUAUUUGAUUUAUAUUUCAUAAUAGAUGAACAGAUAGCUGAUAAAGUUGGUUUGGUUGGAGCUGUAACAUUUUAUAUUUAAUAUUGCUGUUCAUUAUGGUGUUCAGUUUUUCAAUUUGCCAUUCAUUUUGGUGUUUAUCUUUUUCAACGGUGGUAUGUAUUGGUUCUUGCCUCUUUUCAACCCAUUUCUGUUUAACAUCAUGCUUCAUGCUACUUAGGAUCUCGUAGAUUCUGUUUUAUUGUAGAUGAUUGCUUUCCUUCAUACUUGGGUUCUUCUCUGGUUCUCUUCAAAGAAUUUCUUUCUCAAUUAAAAAAAAAAAUUAAUUUUUGAUUUUCAUCUCCUCAAUUUCAUAUUAUGACAUUUAAUGCUGUUUGUGUGCAUCAGGAGGGGAGCAAUUGUCACUACUUUCAUUGUAUGUUAUGCGCUCACAUCCUUCAUUUCUGGUUAUGUGAGUGGGGGAAUGUAUUCGCGCCAUGGUGGUAAAAAUUGGAUAAAGUCGAUGAUCCUCACAGCUUCUCUGUUUCCAUUUAUGUGUUUUGGGAUUGGGUUCAUCUUAAACACAAUUGCUAUAUUCUAUGGGUCUUUAGCAGCUAUACCCUUUGGCACCAUGGUAGUUGUUUUCGUAAUUUGGGCUUUCAUUUCCUUCCCUCUGGCACUUCUUGGCACAGUUGUUGGAAGGAAUUGGAGUGGUGCUCCAAACAAUCCAUGCCGUGUGAAGACCAUUCCUCGUCCAAUUCCUGAGAAGAAAUGGUACCUCACACCAUCUGUUGUUUCACUGAUGGGAGGACUGCUACCCUUUGGCAGCAUAUUCAUUGAGAUGUAUUUUGUCUUCACAUCCUUCUGGAAUUACAAGGUUUACUAUGUGUAUGGCUUUAUGCUACUUGUUUUUCUGAUACUCAUUAUUGUCACUGUUUGUGUGACAAUUGUUGGGACAUAUUUCUUGCUCAAUGCUGAGAACUAUCACUGGCAGUGGACAUCAUUUUUCUCUGCUGCCUCAACAGCCGUUUAUGUUUACUUAUACUCAAUAUAUUACUACUACGUGAAGACUAAGAUGUCAGGCUUCUUCCAAACAAGCUUCUAUUUUGGAUACACUUUGAUGUUCUGUCUUGGUUUAGGAAUCCUCUGCGGAGCUGUUGGUUAUUUGGGCUCAAAUUUGUUUGUGAGGAGGAUCUACAGAAACAUCAAGUGUGACUAAAAUUUAGCUGCGGAGAAAGAUACCCGGGAGCUUCUCUAGCACAUUCUCGUUGAGACAAUAAAUUUUGAGCAAGCCUCGGGUUAUGUAGCGGGGAUCUGUCAAGCUUACAAAUGGAUCAAAAUGUUUGAUGACGGGGAAGUAUUCUUCUUUCUCUGGACUAGGGAAAGUCCCGAGAUUGUUUUUGGUUUUUGUCCCCCGGCUUGUAAGUGAAAUCAUUAAUUUAGAAUUCAGAGAUUGUUCUUGUAUCUGUGAAGUUAGCAAAAUAUAUCAAGCGCCUGUCAAAUUUUUUUUUCCCUCAUGUUUAACAUAUAGGUUCCCUAUGUAAAAACUGAUGCCUAAUCCCCUUAAAUUUGUUUUGUUAUCUGUUCCUCUUUCUCAGUAGAAAACUUCUCAGGGGCGAGUUUGAAGAAAUGAAUUUUGUGCUUCAAAUUUAUGUGUGUACAUCAUUUGUUUCCAUUUGUUCGCAGGCAUUCAGUGAAAUAUGUCUUGAAGGAAAGAAUGAAAAUUGGAUUAUGUAGACGUUUUAAGUACGUACAAAUUUUGAUGCAACGAUUAGCUUGUGGCUCAUGCUCUCAUAAAAAAGAGCUUUCAGAACCGUCAAGAUUGUCGAAAGUCAUAAUGAUUAGACCACUGGUUUUGAUGUCCACUGAAACUGGUGAAAAAUGAAAUUAAUGAAAUAGUUAUAAUUGUUCAGUUUGGUUUUAGCUCAUUAAAAAAUAACACCAGGAAAAACUUGGCCGUAGGAUUGUGGCAGCCACAUUCAACAAUUCUCUGUGGUGAUGAUACAAAGAUAAUGUAUGCUACAAAUGGUUGCCACGUGGCAUAUAGGAUUUAAUGCCACUUCAUCCCUCCAUUUUCUACCACACUAUCUCCACGAGCCUCCCAUUUAUCAACAUCACCUGGCCCUCCUUCUUUAGCCUCCCAAACCAAGAAAGAAACUAUCAUAUCUAACCCUUCCAACACUUGAAAUGGCCUCCACAGCCACCCUCUCCAGUACCAUGUUUAGCACCUCUUUCGCCCGCCGGCAGCCGGCCACUAGCCUACGGGCUCUUCCCAACGUUGGACAGGCUCUUUUCGGCUUGAAAUCCAGCCGUGGAGGACGGUUUAAGGCAAUGGCAGAAUACAAAGUGAAGGCCAUAACUCCAGAGGGUGAAGUGGAAGUGUUGUGUCCUGAUGAUGUCUAUAUUCUUGAUGCUUUUGAGGAAGCUGGUGUUGACCUGCCAUACUCAUGCAGGGCUGGUUCUUGCUCUUCUUGUGCUGGGAAAGUUGUAGCAGGAACUGUGGAUCAGUCCGAUGGGAGCUUCCUUGACGAUGACCAGAUUGAUGCUGGUUGGGUUCUCACUUGUGUCGCUUAUCCUCAGUCUGAUAUUGUCAUCGAGACACACAAGGAGGAGGAGCUUGCUCCUUAAUGUUAUUUCUUUCUUUCCUGUUUCCUAAGUCCUUUGGUUUGUGGGUUGGCUUAGUUUGUUCUUCAGGACAAUAUUGUUAUGUUUUCUUGUUAAUCGAGUAAUGUUAAGGUUUGUAGUCACAAAGGGAACUCUUGUAGCUUAAUAAAAUUUUAUAUGUGGGCGUGUUUUCUAUCUUUCUUGAUAUCUCUCUCACACACAAUUUUAAAGCAUUUUGUUGCAGUUUGUAAAUUCAUUCAUGGAAUGUGAUGCUUUCCAAGAUUUUUUCUGCUA